GACGAACGCUGGCGGCGUGCCUAAUACAUGCAAGUUGAGCGCUGAAGGUUGGUACUUGUACCAACUGGAUGAGCAGCGAACGGGUGAGUAACGCGUGGGGAAUCUGCCUUUGAGCGGGGGACAACAUUUGGAAACGAAUGCUAAUACCGCAUAAAAACUUUAAACACAAGUUUUAAGUUUGAAAGAUGCAAUUGCAUCACUCAAAGAUGAUCCCGCGUUGUAUUAGCUAGUUGGUGAGGUAAAGGCUCACCAAGGCGAUGAUACAUAGCCGACCUGAGAGGCGGAGCGGCCUCGUUGGGAAGGAGACACGGCCCAAACUCCUACGGGAGGCAGCAGUAGGGAAUCUUCGGCAAUGGACGAAAGUCUGACCGAGCAACGCCGCGUGAGUGAAGAAGGUUGUCGGAUCGUAAAACUCUGUUGGUAGAGAAGAACGUUGGUGAGAGUGGAAAGCUCAUCAAGUGACGGUAACUACCCAGAAAGGGACGGCUAACUACGUG
rnacentral:rRNA from 1 species